rnacentral:rRNA from 1 species
UACAGAGGGUGCAAGCGUUAAUCGGAGUUACUGGGCGUAAAGGGCGCGUAGGUGGGUAUUUAAGUUGGAUGUGAAAGCCCUGGGCUUAACCUAGGAAUUGCAUACAAAACUGGAUAUCUGGAGUACUGUAGAGGGUAGUGGAAUUUCCGGUGUAGCGGUGAAAUGCGUAGAGAUCGGAAGGAACACCAGUGGCGAAGGCGGCUACCUGGACAGAUACUGACACUGAGGCGCGAAAGCGUGGGGAUCAAACAGG